rnacentral:rRNA from 1 species
UAGGGAAUCUUCGGCAAUGGACGAAAGUCUGACCGAGCAACGCCGCGUGAGUGAAGAAGGUUUUCGGAUCGUAAAACUCUGUUGUUAGAGAAGAACAAGGACGUUAGUAACUGAACGUCCCCUGACGGUAUCUAACCAGAAAGCCACGUCUAACUUCGUUCCAGCAGCCGCGGUAAUACGUAGGUGGCAAGCGUUGUCCGGUUUUAUUGGGCGUAAAGCGAGCGCAGGCGGUUUCUUAAGACUGAUGUGAAAGCCCCCGGCUCAACCGGGGAGGGUCAUUGGAAACUGGGAGACUUGAGUGCAGAAGAGGAGAGUGGAAUUCCAUGUGUAGCGGUGAAAUGCGUAGAUAUAUGGAGGAACACCAGUGGCGAAGGCGGCUCUCUGGUCUGUAACUGACGCUGAGGCUCGAAAGCGUGGGGAGCAAACAGG